UCGAGAAUCUUCGGCAAUGGGCGCAAGCCUGACCGAGCGACGCCGCGUGGAGGAUGAAGGCCUUCGGGUUGUAAACUCCUGUCGAGGGGGAGGAAGGGGCAACCUUGACCUAUCCCUGGAGGAAGCACGGGCUAAGUUCGUGCCAGCAGCCGCGGUAAGACGAACCGUGCGAACGUUAUUCGGAAUCAUUGGGCUUAAAGCGCGUGUAGGCGGAUGGGAACGUCGAUGUUAAAAGCCCCCGGCUCAACCGGGGAACCGGCGUCGAAACGACCCGUCUGGAGGGGCAUAGGGGGAGCUGGAACUUCCGGUGGAGCGGUGAAAUGCGUUGAGAUCGGAAGGAACGCCCGUGGCGAAAGCGAGCUCCUGGAUGUCUUCUGACGCUGAGACGCGAAAGCUAGGGUAGCGAACG
rnacentral:rRNA from 1 species